AUUGAACGCUGGCGGCAGGCCUAACACAUGCAAGUCGAACGAGUGGCGGACGGGUGAGUAAUGUCUGGGAAACUGCCCGAUGGAGGGGGAUAACUACUGGAAACGGUAGCUAAUACCGCAUACCCUCGGAUGUGCCCAGAUGGGAUUAGCUAGUAGGUGGGGUAACGGCUCACCUAGGCGACGAUCCCUAGCUGGUCUGAGAGGAUGACCAGCCACACUGGAACUGAGACACGGUCCAGACUCCUACGGGAGGCAGCAGUGGGGAAUAUUGCACAAUGGGCGCAAGCCUGAUGCAGCCAUGCCGCGUGUAUGAAGAAGGCCUUAGGGUUGUAAAGUACUUUCAGUCGGGAGGCGUUACCGGCAGAAGAAGCACCGGCUAACUCCGUGCCAGCAGCCGCGGUAAUAC
rnacentral:rRNA from 1 species